rnacentral:rRNA from 1 species
GGUUGACCUCGGAUCAUGUAUGAUACC